AUACGUAGGGUGCAAGCGUUAAUCGGAAUUACUGGGCGUAAAGCGUGAGCAGGCGGUUUUGUAAGGCAGAGGUGAAAUCCCCGGGCUCAACCUGGGAACUGACCUUGUGAAUGCAAGGCUAGAGUACGGCAGAGGGGGAAGGAAUUCCGGGUGGAGCAGUGAAAUGCGUAGAUAUGCGGAGGAACACCGAUGGCGAAGGCAAUCCCCUGGGCCUGUACUGACGCUCAUGCACGAAAGCGUGGGGAGCAAACAGGAUUAGAUACCCUGGUAGUCCACGCCCUAAACGAUGUCAACUGGUUGUUGGGUCUUCAUUGACUCAGUAACGAAGCUAACGCGUGAAGUUGACCGCCUGGGGAGUACGGCCGCAAGGUUGAAACUCAAAUGAAUUGGCGGGG
rnacentral:rRNA from 1 species